CCUACGGGAGGCUGCAGUGAGGACUAUUGGUCAAUGGACGAGAGUCUGAACCAGCCAAGUAGCGUGAAGGAUGACUGCCCUAUGUGUUGUAAACUUCUUUUAUAUGGGAAUAAAAUGUUCCACGUGUGGGAUUUUGUAUGUACCAUAUGAAUAAGGAUCGGCUAACUCCGUGCCAGCAGCCGCGGUAAUACGGAGGAUCCGAGCGUUAUCCGGAUUUAUUGGGUUUAAAGGGAGCGUAGGUGGAUUGUUAAGUCAGUUGUGAAAGUUUGCGGCUCAACCGUAAAAUUGCAGUUGAAACUGGCAGUCUUGAGUACAGUAGAGGUGGGCGGAAUUCGUGGUGUAGCGGUGAAAUGCUUAGAUAUCACGAAGAACUCCGAUUGCGAAGGCAGUUCACUGGACUGCAACUGACACUGAGGCUCGAAAGUGUGGGUAUCAAACAGGAUUAGAUACCCGUGUAGUC
rnacentral:rRNA from 1 species